rnacentral:rRNA from 1 species
AUACGUAGGUGGCGAGCGUUGUCCGGAAUGAUUGGGCGUAAAGGGCGCGUAGGCGGCCCGGUAAGUCUGGAGUGAAAGUCCUGCUUUUAAGGUGGGAAUUGCUUUGGAUACUGUCGGGCUUGAGUGCAGGAGAGGUAAGUGGAAUUCCCAGUGUAGCGGUGAAAUGCGUAGAGAUUGGGAGGAACACUAGUGGCGAAGGCGACUUACUGGGCUCUAACUGACGCUGAGGCUCGAAAGUGUGGGGAGCAAACAGGAUUAGAUACCCUGGUAGUCCACACUGUAAACGAUGAUUACUAGGUGUGGGGGGUCUGACCCCUUCCGUGCCGCAGUUAACGCAAUAAGUAAUCCACCUGGGGAGUACGACCGCAAGGUUGAAACUUAAAUGAAUUGGCGGGG